rnacentral:lncRNA from 1 species
UACACUCUAUCCUCCCCAAACCAUACUUUGUGGGAUUACACUAGGUAUGUAUCCAUUUCUCUACCUCCAAGGUAGUGUUAACGUCUGCCUACACUCUAUCCUCCCCAAACCAUACUUUGUGGGAUUACACUAGGUAUGUUGUUGUUGUUGUAGUACUAUCGAUCAACUACAAUCCGCUUCAAUUUAUACAAAUCAACUGUUUUCAUUUGCUCUAUUCAGGCAUAUUUUUUCCUAAAACAAGCAAAAUUGGAAUUCUUCCUAGCUAGUUGAUCAUGUAACUCUACAAACAAAUACGCCUCAGCUAACUGAA